rnacentral:misc_RNA from 1 species
GAUUUAGGCAAUGGUUUUAUUUAAUUUACCAGUCAAAGAAAAAUGAAUCCUGGGAAAUUGCAAUGCUUUUUUAAUUUUCUUCUCCACUAUUUCUGUAGCUUUCUUUGAUUUGCACGGUAAUGGGAGACUUAGCAUAAAUUUUACCUGACAUUUUGCAUUUCUUUCUCUUGUCCAUAUGCAGAGCUUUGAGUGGACGUGGUAA